UGGGGAAUUUUGGACAAUGGGCGAAAGCCUGAUCCAGCAAUGCCGCGUGUGUGAAGAAGGCCUUCGGGUUGUAAAGCACUUUUGUCCGGAAAGAAAUGGCUCUGGUUAAUACCUGGGGUCGAUGACGGUACCGGAAGAAUAAGGACCGGCUAACUACGUGCCAGCAGCCGCGGUAAUACGUAGGGUCCAAGCGUUAAUCGGAAUUACUGGGCGUAAAGCGUGCGCAGGCGGUUGUGCAAGACCGAUGUGAAAUCCCCGAGCUUAACUUGGGAAUUGCAUUGGUGACUGCACGGCUAGAGUGUGUCAGAGGGGGGUAGAAUUCCACGUGUAGCAGUGAAAUGCGUAGAGAUGUGGAGGAAUACCGAUGGCGAAGGCAGCCCCCUGGGAAUAACACUGACGCUCAUGGCACGAAAGCGUGGGGAGCAAACAGGAUUAGAUACCCUGGUAGUCCACGCCCUAAACGAUGUCAACUAGUUGUUGGGAUUCAUUUCCUUAGUAACGUAGCUAACGCGUGAAGUUGACCGCCUGGGAGUACGGUCGCAAGAUCAAAAGCUCAAAU
rnacentral:rRNA from 1 species